UGCUGAACAUAGACUGAUUUGUUUUGCUUAUCUGAGGUUAUGCAUGUAGAGAUUUCUGCACAAGUGUUCUCUCAGCAGAAUGUUCUGCUUCCAUUUUCUUACGACUAAUUAAUUAUACUAAGCAGUAUAUACAGAGGUGCUCAAUUUCUGCACAAACAUGAGUUGCCUAAGUGAUACUUUUAUACCGCAUUAGAGAUAAGGAAUUGUGGCUAAUAAACAAAUUAUCCCUAUUUCCUAAUGGAUUGCACUUUUCAAGUUGCUUUUGUAGACUUACUUUUUUUUAUCUCUAACAAAAUUUGUUAGAGCAAAUGAUCAUCAAGGCUUGCUUAGUAGUUCAGCGGAAUACGAACACGUGCAUUGUUUCAUUUAUGACUGUUAGUUAUUUCCAGGUUGUAAGGAUUUAUUUGACACCAUCUGGUCUUCAAAAUAUUGUUUAGGCAUACAAUUUGCUUGGUUCUACUCUGUUUGUUAUCCAUGGUUUGGAAAAAUAUUCUAUGGUGGUGGUCCUAUCAAUGUGAUACGAUGUGAAGUAUUUGCUUAUGGUAUUUAUAAUGUUUUUCAUAUUUGUCUGUAGUUGAUAGAUAAAUAUUCAGUUCUCAUACUUGCCGGCUGGUCAAUGUGAUUUGUUCUCCUUUUUGAUACACCAGAAAAGAAAAAAAUUUAAUAAAUUAAUAUCAAGAUGAUUAUAUAUGGAUUUUCCUAGAGUUUAUUUAUAAUCUUUUUCCAGCUAGCUAGUGCAGUACUACUUUUCAAAUGGUUUGUGAUACAGAUGUCAGACUGAAUCAUGUUCCUUUAUAGUUUUGUUCUUCAUGGCUUCGAGUUCCAGAAGUGAGGCAUUCUACAUGGUCAACACUAGGAGAGAGGUAAACUCUAGAACAACAGAUCUCUUCUCUUGUGUACCACGCACAAAGCCUAUUAAAAUAAUCUCACUUUUUGCUACUUCAAGCAUAGAUCCAUGACGUGAUAUCUCUACGUUGCACAAAUAUGGCACAGUAGAUUAGCUACCUCUGAACCCCAAAAUGCCCCUAGACAUCCAGUGGGACAGAAACAUAAAUUUUGACCAAAUAACUCAACUUGUGCACAUAGGGAAACUAAUGUAUGGUGACAUUGAGGUUUGGGUUUCUGAAUUUAUGGUGCAUGGUCCCUGUGGGGAGCUUAAAGCCAAAUUUGUUUGUAUGCAAACAGGAAAAUGUUCCAAAAUUUUCAAAAAUAUUUUCAGGAGGAGACUGUCAUUCUUGAAAAUGGCUUUGCACUUUAUCGAUGUCACAACAAUGGUCGCCGUGCACUUAAGCAUUCUUGAUAAUCUGUGGGUGGUUAAUAAUCUAUGGGUGGUACUUGUAACAUGAGCAUGUUAAAAAAUACCAGUCCCAUAUGAAUGUCGAGUGGUGCAAUAAAACAUAGGUGGUGAAGUACUUAUUCAAGUAUAUCACAAAAAGUGCUGAUCGGGUUGGGUCUGAAAGUCUGCUGGAGUCACCCCCUGGGUUCGGGUCCCAAGAGAUUCAUUCAUCUGUAUUUGAUGAUCCAAAUUGUCCCCUUGCCCCAUCUACUUUGAAGAUGAUAGAAAAGAGGCUGCUGCCGCAGAAAGUUCAGGCGGAUGCACAGUUCAAGAUGAAGAAGGCCUAGCCCAGAAACAGCUGGCAUGUAAAUAUGAACUAGGUGCCCGUUGCAACAAUUCGCUUGUGCACCGUGUGUGGAUGUUUCUUCUACCGUUCCUUAGUGCCCGCCUUAUGUAUUUCGGUUUAUCCCAUAAUGGUUUUCUCAAGAAAAUGAAAGUUUCAAAUUCUUGGUUCA